rnacentral:rRNA from 1 species
GAUGAACGCUGGCGGCGUGCUUAACACAUGCAAGUCGAACGGGGUUUAAGAAGGAAGCUUGCUUUCAUUUUAAACCUAGUGGCGGACGGGUGAGUAACGCGUGAGGAACCUGCCCUUCAGUGGGGAACAACAACUAGAAAUGGUUGCUAAUACCGCAUAAUGUCGGAGAGCCGCAUGACAUUCCGACCAAAGGAUUUAUUCGCUGAAGGAUGGCCUCGCGUCCGAUUAGGCAGUUGGUGAGGUAACGGCCCACCAAACCUACGAUCGGUAGCCGAACUGAGAGGUUGAUCGGCCACAUUGGGACUGAGACACGGCCCAGACUCCUACGGGAGGCAGCAGUGGGGAAUAUUGGGCAAUGGGCGAAAGCCUGACCCAGCAACGCCGCGUGAAGGAUGACGGUCUUCGGAUUGUAAACUUCUUUAAUUGGGGAAGAACAAAAUGAC